rnacentral:rRNA from 1 species
GGGUGCGACCAUACCAGCACUAACGCACCGGAUCCCAUCAGAACUCCGAAGUUAAGGGUGCUUGGGCGAGAGUAGUACUAGGAUGGGUGACCCCAUGGGAAGUCCUCGUGUUGCACCCC